CAACGGUUCAUGCCUCAAAGAAACCGUUGAAGACAGGAACACACUAGCCUCCGCGAAGCGCGGUGAUUCCGCCUCUUUCUCCGCUUACAACAUGGAUUUCAACAUGAGGAAAUUCGCUACAGAUGCUGGGAUAUUCUUUUCACGAGCCGUUCAGUUUACAGAGGAGAAACUGGGACAAGCUGAGAAGACCGAGCUGGAUGCACACUUUGAGAAUCUGCUGUCCAGAGCUGACUGCACCAAAAACUGGACUGAGAAAAUCUACAGACAGACUGAAGUCGUGCUUCAGCCGAACCCUGGUGCUCGCAUCGAAGAGUUCCUGUAUGAAAAGCUUGACCGGAAGGUUCCCCCGCGGCCCACUAAUGGAGAGAUCUUAGGACAGUUCAUGCUGGAGGCGGCCAAAGAGUUUGGAGCAGAAACCCCGUACGGAAGCACCCUGAUCAAAGUGGGCGACUGUCAGAGGAGACUGGGCGGCGCUCAGAGAGAGUUUCUGCAGACCUCAUCCAUCAGCUUCCUCACACCCCUGCGCAACUUUCUGGAGGGCGACUGGAGGACCAUUUCUAGAGAGCGUAAACUUCUGGAGAAUCUGCGCUUGGAUCUGGACGCUUGUAAAGCGCGACUCAAGAAGGCCAAAGCGGCGGAGACCAAAGCUGCUGCUGUUCCAGACUUUCAAGAGACAAGACCACGUAAUUAUGUGUUGUCUGCCAGUGCAUCUGCACUCUGGAAUGAGGAGCUUGAUAAAGCGGAGCAUGAAUUGCGUGUUGCUCAGACAGAGUUUGACAGACAGGCUGAGGUCACCAGACUCCUCCUGGAGGGCAUCAGCAGCACACACGUGAAUCAUCUGCGCUGCCUGUGUGAGUUUGUGGAAGCGCAGGCGAUGUAUUACAACCAGUGUCACAAGUACAUGCUGGAGCUGCAGAGAGAGCUGGGCAGUCUCCUCUCUUUCAGAAGGUGCCCCGACUCUUUGGAUGUGAAUUGCCUCCCUGACAAAAGCCCAAUGGACCCGUCUGCCUUCCUGGCGCUGAACUCUUCAUCUCCGCUGGAAAGAGAUGCUCUGCAGAUUGAAGAAGUUCAGCCGCCAGCCAGUGGCACACGCAAGGCCAAAGUGCUGUAUGACUACGACGCUGCAGACUCCAUUGAGCUCUCGCUGCGGGCCGAUGAGCUCAUCACCGUGUACACGGUGCCUGGAAUUGACUCUGAUUGGCUGAUUGGAGAGCGAGGAAACCAGAAGGGGAGGGUGCCUGUUACCUAUCUGGAGCUGUUGAGCUAGAGAGGCGAGACACACACACACACACACACACACACACACACACACAGAAUCAUAGAAACUUAUGAGAUCAACCCAUGCAUACAUCUUUAAAUGAAAAUCUAACUAUUGUGUGUUUACAUGCAUGUCAAUGGGGCUUCAUUUUUAUUUUUUAUUUUAAUAUUUAAGAAGUCUCUGCCAUUUUUUAUUUUAUUUUGGACGAGUGAUAUCACUUGGUAAUAUUAAAAUCCAUUGCUUCCUAAUACUAAAUAUUAAACCCUUAUAAAUGAAUCAAUAAUGCAUUAUAAUUCAUAGAACAUCAAAUUUUUUGAAAUCAUUAAAUCACACAAAUACUCACCAGUGCAAAACAAAUUUCAGAAAUGCCUGAAACAUCCACUCAUUAUGAUCACAUGUAUGUAUGUACUGUAUGUGGCUGUUUUCCUCACUAAAAACUGUCCUGUUGUCAGUCAGAAUGACUUUCCUGCCUUCAGUAUACAAUUAACCAUCUUGAUACAGCUUGUCCUGAGAGCUGAAGACAAAUAUAAUCUCACUAUUAAAUGUUCAAAGGUCUAAGCACUAGCAUAUUUGCACUGUUUGGCAACUUUGCUUUCUAGCAGACCUCCGUAAGCCUAAAUUAAACACGGCCUUAACUGCAUCUCAUGCGGACAGAUGUAACAAAUGUAAUGAACCACAGCUAAUAAUGUCUGCAAUAGUGACCAUGUGAUAGAGAUCAGAAUAUGAAUGUUGAUCUCCAGCCUCAAAGUCUUCAUAACGCUCGUCUUUCUUGCAUGAAGAACUUGACAGUGCAAUAAUACCUGCUCAUGCUCAGAAAAAGUACAGUUGCUCUGCUUUAAGUGCCACUUGAGUUAGAAUUAUUUUGAAGUCUCCUUUAAUUAGACAAUCAUAUGCAGUAUCUCCAUCUUAAUGCCCAGUUUGAACUGAUUUACAGAGUUUUACUGUAACUAUGUUUGUUUUGAAAUGUGCUUUCGCCACACUAUAUUGUUCUUUUAAAGGAAUCAUUCACCCAGAAAUGAAGAUUUGCACAUAAUUUCCUCACUUUCAGGCCAAUAUGAGUUUGUUUCUUCAUCAGAUUUGGAGAAAUGUAGCAUUGCAUCAGUGUCUCAUCAACGGAUGCUCUGGGGUGAAUGGGUGCCGUCAGAAUGAGAGUCCAAACAGCUGAUAAAAACAUCACAAUAAUCCACAGCACUCCAGUCCAUCAGUUAACGUCUUGACAAGUGAGAAGUCAAACUUCUGUUGUCCUGAUGUUGUUCAUCUAAAUAGCUGUGACAGUAUUGUGCAAUUCUCAACUCUUGAAUUCAGUAUAUGAUUUGAUGAGAAAAAUUAGUAUCUGAUAUUGUCUUUCUCACUCUCACAGACAAUUUCUAGACAAUAUUAUAACUGCUGUAUUAUGAUAUUGUGACUACAUAUUCUAUACUAAUUAUUUUUUUCCUCUAUCUUUUAGUUUCCCUCCGUUUUGCA